rnacentral:tRNA from 1 species
GACGAGAUAGAGUAAUUGGUAACUUAUCAGGCUCAUAAUCUGGAGAUGUAGGU